rnacentral:lncRNA from 1 species
GAUGUCCAUACACACAAUAAAUGUCAUAUAACUAAUAACUAUAAUUAAUGAACAAAACCGAUCAAAACACGAUUAUACCGAUUUAUUCUUAAUGCUUAAUUAUUAUAAUUUGACGAAUGAUAUUUUCAUUUAUAUUUUUUUUUCUUUUUUGACAUCUUUCAUUUAUAUUCUUUAAAACAUCUAAUAUGUGAUUUUUGGACGGG